rnacentral:rRNA from 1 species
AAACUAACAAGGAUUUCCCCAGUAGUGGCGAACGACCGGGAAUUAGCCCAGCACCGAAUCCUGUAUCUUUGAUAUUAGGAAUUGUGGUGUAAAGGUUGUGUUUUUAAUUGAAGAUUAUGCUCCAAAUUCACUUGAUUGUGAUGUUGUCCAGAGAGGGUGUUAGGCCCGUUGGAGUGUAUGAAACUUUUAUUGAUGCUUCCUAUGAGUCGGAUUGUUUGAGAAUGCAGUCCAAAUUGGGUGGUAAACUCCAUCUAAGGCUAAAUACUUGUGUGAGUCCGAUAGCAAACAAGUACCGUGAGGGAAAGUUGAAAAGAACUUUGAAGAGAGAGUUAAAUAGUACGUGAAAUCGCUUAGAGGUAAACGAGUGAAGCCGAAGAUGUUUUAUGGAAUUCAGUUAACUGUGUGUCUUCUUGAAUUUGGCGAAAUCCAACUAGGAAUUGCUAUUUUUGAGUUUUUAUAUACAUGCGGUUGAUGCACUUUCUGUAUAACAGUACUGCGACCAAUAGCGUCAUUUUCCUGUCGUAAUUUUGAAGGUGAUCAUUUCUUCGGAAAUGGUUUUAUAUCUGGUUACAUGGUUAAAUGAUUUAUUGGUGAUUGCGAUUAACGGAUAUUGAUUGGUUUAAUGUUGAUUGUGCUUUAGCAGACUAAAAAUAGGCUGUUUUUGAACUUUUGAUGUUUUUCAUGGUUGAUUUGUUAAUUUAAAGUCUGCAGUGUAUGUAGGUUACUUACUCGUCCCGUCUUGAAACACGGACCAAGGAGUUUUAUAUGAUCGCGAGUCAAAGGGCCUUACGAAACCCCACGGCGAAAUUAAUGUAAAGGUUUACUUCGGUAAGCUGUGAUGUGACCUCGUGGAAACACAGAGUGCAACAUCGACCCGUCUAAAGAUGUUCGCAUCUGGGCGGAGUUUGAGCGAUCAUGUAGAGACCCGAAAGAUGGUGAACUAUGCUUGUGCAGGUUGAAGCCAGAGGAAACUCUGGUGGAGGACCGCCGCGGUUCUGACGUGCAAAUCGAUCGUCGGACAUGAGUAUAGGGGCGAAAGACUAAUCGAACCAUCUAGUAGCUGGUUCCCUCCGAAGUUUCCCUCAGGAUAGCUGACAUUUGUUGUUGUAGUUUUACCUGGUAAAGCGAAUGAUUAGAAGUAUUGGGGACGAAAUGUUCUCAACUUAUUCUCAAACUUUAAAUGGGUUCGAAGUGCGUCUUUCUUCAUUGAAGAUGUGCAUCGAAUACAAAUGUCUAGUGGGCCAUUUUUGGUAAGCAGAACUGGCGAUGUGGGAUGAACCAAACAUCUGGUUAAGGUGCCUAACAUAACGCUCAUAAGAACCCACAAAAGGUGUUGUUUGAUAAAGACAGCAGGACGGUGGACAUGGAAGUCGUCAUCCGCUAAGGAGUGUGUAACAACUCACCUGCCGAAUCAACCAGCCCUGAAAAUGGAUGGCGCUGUAGCGUUGGACCUAUACCGGAUCGAUAUCGCAAGUUACAAAACGAGUAAGCGAUAUCGUGUAGGAGGGUGCCGUGGUUGCUAAGAAGCUACUGGCGUAAGUCAGAGUGGAGCGGUCACGGGUACAGAUCUUGGUAGUAGUAGCAAUGAUUCAAGUGAGAUCCUUGAAU